AGCGGCGGACGGGUGAGUAACGCGUGGGUAACCUGCCUCAUACAGGGGGAUAACAGUUAGAAAUGACUGCUAAUACCGCAUAAGACCACGGUACCGCAUGGUACAGUGGUAAAAACUCCGGUGGUAUGAGAUGGACCCGCGUCUGAUUAGGUAGUUGGUGGGGUAACGGCCUACCAAGCCGACGAUCAGUAGCCGACCUGAGAGAGUGACCGGCCACAUUGGGACUGAGACACGGCCCAG
rnacentral:rRNA from 1 species